ensembl:lncRNA
UUUUUUUUCUUUCUUUCUUUCCUUCUUUCUUUCUCUUUCUUCCUCCCUUCCUUCCCUCCCCUUUCUCCCUUUCUUUCUGUCCUUUUCCCGCAUUUCUUCCCUUUCCCUCCCUUUGCGCCGUCCCCGAGCCGAUGUCCCGGAGCCGCCCUCACAACCCCGGCCGCCCUCUCCUUUUCCCCUUUUCGUUCCCCAGCCCCGAGCUCUCCCUGACGACGCGAACCAAACCCGGGUGCCGCAGCUCUCCCCCUCUCCAGCCCCAUCGCCCUCCUCGUCCCCUCCACGGCACCUUUCUGUCCCUCCGUUUCCUGACGCUCUUUUCCUCGCGGAUGUCCCCACGUCCCUCGUUUCGUGUCCCCCUCCCUCCCCCGGCGCCGCGCGUUUCGCCUCCCCCCAAACUUGGCGUAGGUUUGGUGUGAGCUGAGGUUGCCGAUGGCCGCGUUAUCCCCCCAUUUUGGCACGAUUAAAAUGCGGCGAUUUUCAGUGCCGUCGUUAAAAAUACCGAACGCGAAUGCCGAGCGCGCUGCGUGUCCCGAGACUUCGAUUUGCCCCGGCGCACGGGGGGUCGUUUAACGCGCAAAGAAAAGCGACGGAUACCUUUUAGCGGGAGGUCAAAAGCGAUUAACCGGAAAAAAAAUGAGAAAAGAAAAAGAAAAAAAAAAGGAAAAAAAGGGAAAAAAAGACAAAAAAAGAAACCCUUCAGACAGUCAGAAAAAGGCUGCAAUACCGCCGGGGGAAAGAAAAAAGAAACAACAACAACAACAAAACCCCCAACAAACAAAAAGUAAAGCAACAAACAACCGUCUUCCGAGCGGCUUUGGGUCCCGGCGUGGUUUCCUCCGGGCUGCGGGUGCCCCGUGCCGGUACCGCCGUAGGGACAUCGCGGGGACACCGCGGGGAGCGGCGGAGGGGCCGCCCGUGGCGGGGCUGUGCGGCUGCUCCGGGCGGGUCCCGGCGUCCCCAGAGCCGAACGGCUGCGGGGGAGUGCGGGGAUUUCACCGCUGGAAACUUUGCGGUGCGCUGAAAAUACGUAAACCGAAGAGACGGCGACGCGGAAAGUAACUCCCGGCUGCCUGAAAAGCGAGGGGGGAAAGAAAAAAAAAAAGAAAAGAAAAGAAAAAGAAAAAAGAAAGAAAGAAAAGAAAAGAAAAGAAAACAACCCGACGACCCGACGCAAAACUUUCAGGGGCUGUGAGUGAAUUCCGUUCGUUUCGCCCCUCAGCAUCGCACCGACAAACGCGCCUUGGGGUAAUUUGGGACUUUCAGUUUUGCUCCCGCUCUGCCCCGCCGGGCUCCCUCUCCACGCUGCCACUGUCCCCGUGUCCCCACGUCUCCGUGUCCUGUGUCCCUAUGUCCCCCUGCUCCAUGGCCCCCCCAUGUCCCCCUGUCCCUAUAUCCCCCUGUCCCCAUGUCCCCCUGUCCCUAUAUCCCCAUGUCCCUAUAUCCCCCCGUCCCCAUAUCCUCCCCCCGUCCCCGUGUCCCCCUGUAUCCCCUUGUCCCCGUAUCCCCCUGUCCCCAUGUCCUGUCCCCGUGUCCCUCUGCCCCACGUCCCGCUGCCAGGUGCGCUCUCUGUCCCCCCGCCCCUCUCUGAGCGAUCCGGCGGAGCUGCGGCUGCUUCCAAGCGAUCCCCUCUUCUCGAUAUUUCAUUGUCACGGUUUCUCGGGCCCGGCCCUUAUCUCUCCCCGCAGACUGCGGCUGCUGUCCCCGGAGCUCUCCGUGUCCCCCCCUCCCCGGGCUGCGGCCGGAGCCGGGGCUCUGCUUUCCCCCUCACCGCCCCCCCCCUCCCACCCCGCCUAUCCCGGGCCGCUCAGCGCUCACCGCCGCUUCCCUUUAUCUCCCGGUUUCAGCCCCGACUUCGAGGGAGGGAAAUGCAAAAAAAAAAAAAAAAAAAAAAAAAAAAAAAAGCAAAAGCAUAAAAGAAAUUCGCGUUCGGCCAUUUUCGGCCAAGUUGACAACUCGAGCGACUUUUGACCGAGGCGUGGAAAUUGGGCGUGGAAACUGCGACCACCGCACCUGGCCUGGAAGCGGUGUCCCACCCCGCGGCCGCGUGGAACCGCCGCAAUGGGGGCAGCCGGAGGGGUUCGCACCAGGGGGGCAGCGCGAGGAUGGUCUGGGACAGUCGAGACGGUGCUAGGAGAGUGUUGGGACGGUCUGGGAGCGAGGAGCAUUGAGCAGCAGGGCCGGGUCGGGCUGGGCCGGGCCGGGCCGAUCCGUGCCGGGCGGAGGCUGCCACCGUACCUGGCUGGGGGCCGGGCGGAGCGGGCGGGACGCUGCCGGGCUCAGCCACUCCCGGCCCCGGGCGCGCUGCGCUGCGGCUCGGCCACACCGACGGCUCUGGGCGGGAGCUGCGGGAAAGGGGAAGGAAAGGGAAGGGAGAGCCGUGCGCUCUUUGCCCGAGGAGCGUCCGCGUCUUCGCGUCUCCCGGAUGGAAAAAAAAAAAAAUAAUAAAAUCAGUAUUUUGCCUCCAGCUGCUAACGACGGCUCCUUCUGGUUUCUCUACACCUGGUGCUUUCCUCCCUUUCUACGUCGCUGGGUUCUGUAAGCCUUCCCCGUGCCCCGGGACAUCAGCCGCCCGCCGGUGCCCUCACGCUGAGAGCCGGUGGAGCUCUUUGAGCGCCUUCUAAAUAGCGCUCACGAAAGCCACGCGUGGUGCUGCACGAUCCCACGGGGCGACUUCAAUCGCUGAUGAAUUUGUUUGGCUUGGCGAUGAGACUGUGGGGAUUUGACUCAUCGAGAUGCAAAUUGAGAGUAAAUAGAGAAAAGAAGUGUUUCUCUGCAUCCAUCUGAAUUUACAUUUCAUCGUUUUAAUAGAUAAGCCAAUGCUGCUUCUCUGUCUCUAAUUAAUAACCGCUCUAGGGGAAAUUCCGGGAAGAGAAACGGGGUUGAUUUGCGUACUGAAGGGCACAGAGAGACGUUGCUCAAUAUCUCUGACAUCCGUCUGCGCAGAUACAAAUGGAAGUGGUUUGAGGCACGCAGCGCGCCUAUUUGCGGCUGGGGAGACGCGGCUGUGUCAGCACGGUGUCCUCUGCUCCUGCUCCGGUCCGGAUGCUGCCUCCUUAGCUUAGAAGCCCCUUCGGGAAUGAUCAUCUCCUGGGGACCCAGAAGGCACCCUGCUGCCUGCAGCUAUUCCGUCUGUUAGCUCCCAGUGAGUUGCAGCACGCUCCCGAUGUGUGGUCAUUGCGUUACAGCCCAGACAGCCUGAGGACAGAAGCAAGGCAGAUAACAAUUACAAAAUGUUAGAUGAAAAUGCAGCUUGCCAUUCAUUAUAGCUAACUUUGAGUGGCUGUGCUGCACACGAUGAUGCAAGAGCUGUGACUUAGUCAACACAACCUACACGUCUUUGCCUACUUGUAGCCUCACUUUAUUUAUGUACUUACAGAUUCCAGGAAACAGACCAGCAAUGGUUAGAAUCAUACAAUCGCUGAGGUUGGAAAAGACCUCUAAGAUCGUCAAGUCCAACCAUCACCGCCGCGCCCACUCAAAGAAUCAUAAAGAUUGGAAAAGACUUCCAAGACCAUCAAUUUCAACCCAUCGCCACCACGUGCACUUAGAUCAUAAAGAAUCAUGAAUUUACAUAGAGCCCCUCCUACACCUGAAUAUAUCUUAAGAAAAAAAAUAAAGCUUCAUGGCUUGCAAGUCCCUGUUAAGAAACUACCAGUGCUGGAGUUCUUGGCAUCAAAACCUCAUCUCCUUAAGAACAGGUAAUAUUACCAGCUGGCCUUAUUUGGAAGAAUGAAAUAAGUCAGAGUGUUCUAAUUCUGGAUAUGGUACACUUGUUGACAAAGGACUCAGUGCGUGGGUGAAAAGCAGCUCCACUUCUGCAGAUCUCUGCCCUUUGGUUCCUUGUCAAAGAAGUAGAUCAGCACUGGUGUUUUCCUGGAUUUAUGCCCCGCUUUAGAUGAUGAAAGGCCGCUCUCGGGUCUUCCCAGAGCCUUCUCUUCUCCAUGCUGAACAGUCCCAGCUCUCUCAGCCUGUCCUUGUAGGAGAGGUGUUCCAUCCCUUGGAUCAUUUUUGUGGCCCUCCUCUGGAUGCGCUCCAACAGGUCCAUGUAUCUCCUGUACUGAGGACUCUACAUCUGGACACAGUACUCCAGAUGUAUAAGCAAAGCACAUUGUUGUUUGUUCGUGGAUUAAACAAUUCAGCAUUUUGGACCUAAUCUGGAAUGACGUUGCUGCUUUAGGUGGUGUUUUGAUGCUCGGAAGACCACGGGCUACUCAUUGUCUGCAUGCAUCACAGAGAUGGGAGAACUGGAGGAACAGAGAUGUGAAGCUGUCUGCUCAGAGCUGUAGAGGAGGCCAGUGACAAAUCCAGGAAUCCAAGCCAAGGCUCCUAAGUUGCAUUCUAAUUCUCUAAUCAGCACAGAAAUUUGCCUUCUGGCAUUGCGAUGAGGAUGAACCCCCAGGCACAGCAGCAGUGGUUGUGUGAGAGGAGAAACAAACCCUCCCCUGACGUCACUCGUGCCAGCAGUCUGAGCAGGAGGAAGGUGCAGGAACGCUCCUACAGAGAACUGGGACUGGUUUGUCUCUUUAGAAGGGAGCAAUGGUAUUUUGAACAUUUUUACCACAUCCCAGAGCGCGCGACGGCAUUUUAUGGACUGGGAAUUAUAGAAAUGAAAGACUGUGAGAUGGGAAAGAAUUGCAGGAAGCCACAGAGAGCUGCAACCUAAGCAUCCUGAAAUCUGUGACCAAGCCCCAAGGAUAUCUCUUGUUAUUGCAGCCACCUCCAAUGACUGCUGUUUUUUAUAUGAUUUACCAGCCCCAGUGAGCUCCCCAAGACUGAAUGGGGACAGAUGGGCCUCAAGUUGUGCCAGGGGAGAUUUAAGUUAGAUAUCAGGGAAAACUUCUUUACAGAAAGGGUUGUUAAGCACUGGAAUGGACUCCCCAGGGAGGUGGUUGAGUCACCAUCCCUGGAUGUGUUUAAAAACCAUUUGGAUGUGGUGCUCAGGGACGUGAUGUAGCGGAGUGUUGUUAGUUAGGGUAGUGUGGUUAGGUCAUGGUUGGACUCGAUGAUCUUUAAGGUCUUUUCCAACCUGAGCAAUUCUAUGCUUCUAUGAUUCAGUGAUUUUAGUCCAGAGGAAGAUUCCCAACUGGUUCUGGGUGGUGAACUUUUUGGCUUGUGAAAUGAGUUACAGAAUUCCUAUUUAAAAAACAAAGAAGAUGGUGUAAAUUUGCACCUGGGAGGCAGCGCGUGCUUUGAAAAAGGCAAUUCAAAAAAUAAUGCGCUGGUAUGGAAACUCUGUGAUCUGCAAUUUAAGGCUUUACAGGUAGCAAAUCUUUAUGCUGAGACACGAAACAUGCAUUUAAAAUAAUGACUGUAAGCACAGACCAAUGCAACCAUUAUCUAGCUCAUAUGUGUAAAUACUGAAGAAAUGUAAAAAUUUACCCUCCUCCCCCCAAAUUUUUAAGACCUUAAUUGGUCCUUUUGGGGUUUUUUGGUUUUUUUUGAUACUUUCAAGUCAUGCUACAUUUUGCUGAAGAACAGUUUAGUUUCCCUGUUGUCUGAAUAAGAGUCCCCGGGUCCUGGUCCCGAAUGGUAGUAUUUGCACUGUGCUGGCAGCUGUGUGCCUGUGGUCACCCCAUAGCAAUAUUUAUGGGGAACGUAUACAGUGGCAGUGCCUCUUUCAGAGAACACCAGGAGGAAAAUAGCAUGUGGCCAACCCACACGUAAUUUGUUCUCCUUAGCGGAGGUCUCACAUAGGCAGUACUUAAAUGGCACUUUUUGUUUCUGGGUAAGAUGAAGGUAACUGAUAGAAACCAUUCAAGAGCCUCUCUGGCUGUUGCUUAUGUUCCCUGCAAAGGGCUGAAGGGAACAGCUCUUUGGAGACGUGGCUUUACACUGAACAUACGCUGGGCUGUGUCAUUAUUAAUUCUGCAAAUGUGUUUACAAUGGUUAGGUAAAAUAUUUAGUUACUAUUUAAAUAUUUUGAUGUAUUAUAGCUCAUACCCGAAUUUUAGAUGUCUACUGCACUUAACAUUUCCAAUUUAAAUAACCGGUUUCAUUAAGGUUUUUAGUGAUACAAAUUAAUAACAAAAGGCAGUUAAUGCAGAGUACGGUUAUGAGACCAAAAUACAUGUGGUUUAAAUUUAAAGAAUUAAAUGUUAGCAUUUCCCUAUAGGGAAAGGUUAUUUGGGCAGUGGUGUACUGACAUUAUCACCACCCACGGAGAAGGGGACCUGUUGAUCCUAUUGGUUAAGUACAAAUUCAGAAACGGAAGAAAUGUUGGUCUAGAGGGUUUGCUUGGUGUGAGUGAAUCACACAGGAAAAAUGCUGAUACCUAGAGUAGCUCAGUGACCUUCUUUGAUGGUUAAGAAGAGAAACAAGCACACAAGGUUUCUGUCAAAGUCAGAAGGUUUAGGUUGCUUGCUGGGUAAAAUCGGCCCAGGUUAUUAAUAUAGUGGAAAGUUAAAUGAUGAGCAUGGAAGUAUGAUAAUAAGCGCUGUUGUAAGUGAGACAGAAAUGAUUUUCUGUGGCCAGUGAGAACGAUAAUCCAAAGUGUUAACCAUUGGGCUCGAGGGCUGCUAAGAAAAUAAAUGUGCAAAGUGGAUAAAAUAAAGGCUGAAAGUAUGUUUAAGUAGGUGUUUCUUCAAAGCUUUCUUCAGGAGGGUGUUUCUGGACACUCUGCCCUACUGCUUUUGGCAAGACAUGUCUGUUAUAAUAAAGGUAAGCAUGCGGCUUUCGUUCUAGCAGAAAAUAGUGCUAACUGUAGCUCGGAAUUUAUGUGCUUUUGUAAUAAUUUUCAUGGACUUAGCUAGAAACAAAUCUGUUGAAGGUAACAAUUACUAACUUGGCGCUAUUUGGCGUUAGUUAAAUCUGACAACGUUGGGAUGGCUUCACCUAUUAUUCCUGGAAGAAACUGCGAAAUCGGGUGGUUUUAGGGAGUUUUGUGCGGAUGUGGGACCGCACAGGGAAGGCAGCUCUCAGCAUCAGUGCGUGUAAGUAAAGCUUGGCUCUGACCCUCAGGCUGACAGCUUGGAAAUGGACUGGGCUGAAACGCAGGCUCCGGCGCUCUGCGCUUUGGCUCUUGAAAAUUUCUGUGUGAGACCUAAUUUCAAUCUGAAAAGUCAGAAUACAGUGGUUUGCAAUCAGUUUUGCUUUGUUUGAACCUAAAACUCAAAGCAAAACUCUUGGUGUAUAGAACUGUACAAAGCAAAACGUAAGAAAGUGAACCCAAGAGCUCUACAGGCUGAACAAGCUAGUUUCACUUAGCUCUCAAAAUAAUCCCCAUUUUGCAAGUUCACUUUUCAAUUGCACAUGUGGUAGAUGUCAAAAUUGAGCUGGUUUCACUAUGGGUAGUGCAGCUCCAAAGCAUCACACCGUCAGCAAGGUCUCAGCACUUGCUCUCAGUCUCAACUGGUACUUUGGACAUGUCAAGAGAUGAAAGUUUAUCUGUUUCAGCCUGUUCACGUUUGACUUUUGUUCAUCUCUAAGACAGUGAUCUGCAUGUUUCCAGAUCCAGCUCUGAACUCAUUUCCUAAAUCUCUGAUAAUGCUCUUAAUGGCACACAGUCCUGAAAUGGCAGGAACCACUCACCCCUGGAAGGUCAUCCUUGGCACCAUGUGUGUUCAGUAAAAGGCCAGAUGUUGCAGAGAUGCUGAACAUCUGCUGCUCUUCCUCACUAGCCCACAAGCUGCAGGUGCUCAUGCCACUGCAAACAUCACACGCCUACUCCCCAGGCACUCUUAUUCAAAAUGAAGCAAUGAACAGCCCUCUGCUUUGCUUUAGCUUUCUGUAAAACCAUAGUGCAGUGGGCUAGAAACAAACAUACGAGCCGUGCCCAUACAGUGGCACUUCUAGCAGAGCAUUGCUGAGUGUUUGGGAGUUCAGACUAGUCAGGGUACCUCCUUUCAUGGAAUCACAGAAUCACAGAGUCAUUAAGGUUCAAAAAUACCACUAAGACCAUCUAGUCCAACCACCAAUUCAUCCCCACCAUACCCACUAACCAUGUCCCUCAAUGCCACGUCUACACAGUUCUUUAAUACCUCCUGGGACAGUGCCCUCCUGGGCAGCCUGUUCCAAUGCUUUACCACUCUUUCUGGGAAGAAGUUUUUCCUAAUAUCCAACCUGAACCUCCCCUGGUGCAACUUGAGGCCAUUCCCUCUCAUCCUAUCGUUGUUGCCUGGGAGAAGAGACCAACCCACACCUUGCCAUGACCUCCUUUUAGGCAGUUGUAGUGAGCAAUAAAGUCUCCCCCGAGCCUCCUCUUUUCCAGACUAAACAAUCCCAGUUUCCUCAGCCACUCCCCAUAAGACCUGUAUUCACUGAGCAGCUGAUCCAUUUCCUUCCCUGAUUUCCAAAAAAAUAUUGAGAGACUGACCUCCUGAGCUCCCAGAAUGACCGCUGAUGGAAAAGCGAGGCCCUGGCAGCAGUGAGGCUGGGAAGCAGAUGUCAAAUUCUCAUGACGAACCAGGACCUGGAAAAGUGCUGAGUGCCAGGGGAAUGGCUGAACUUGAAAAUAUAAGGAUAUCUGGGUUACAUAAGGAUUGUAUUGCAAGUGGAAUUUACAAUAUAAUGGCUCACCUCUGCACAAGAGUGAGCCUUGUCAUGUGCAAGCAUAUGUUACAGGGAAAUCCACUGGGCUGUUGACGGAAAGCAAAUAUUAUGUGACCCUGAAUCUCACUUGGUAUUUUAAACCAUAAGAGUUUCAGAUUUGAGUCACAGUAAGUCGGAUAUACAUAUGUGUGUAUAUAGAAGCUUUUAAGCUCUGAGCAAGGCUUCUGCCUUGGCAAUAUUUUCACUUCAAAUUGCACAUUUGGUCCUCUGUUCUUGUAAAUCAUUGUAGCCUCAAUCCGAAGUCAGAAGUCAGAUGAGAGGCUUCCAAACUUUGGCAAGAAAUCCAAUGCAGAAACCUUUACAAUCUUCUCUUUUCUACUCUGGCCACUUUGAGCUCCAGAAUCCAAAUUCCACCCACCCAUCUUGCUUCUUCACAGGGCUUCCUGCAUAGAGGUGACAUCAGGAUCUAUCUGACGCCUUAUUUGCCCCUGUGGAGCUUUCAGUCGGAGCAGAUACGUUCCUAGCACUGCAUGGAGAACACCCCCAGCCCAGGGUGGAACACUCCUCUGUCAGAGCAAGAGCUGGAGAGGCUGGCACGCGAGAGGCACACAUGGGGAAAGAUCUGUUUUCUUUUUUUAAUUCAGCACUUUGACCUGAAACACCGAGGCGAGCCGUGCAAAGAGCUGCCUGCAGAGUAGAAUGCUGCAAGUUUAAGGACUCAUUUUUAGUAACAAAGCCCAGACUAUUAGCCCUGCCAUUUUUCCACUGCUGGAGGAAAACGUGGACUCUUGCUGAGUUUGUACGGUGAGUAUCUCAGAGAUAUUUGAAUCUGCCACCAGUAAAAGGCCUCUGAAUGUGCUCACAUGGAGGAACCAGCUCAAGGUAAAGGAAAUGGAAAAAAUGGGAAAAAGAAGAAACCUCUCUUUGGAUCUUUAGCUCUGUUAUUUUUUCAGAUUGUAUUUCUUCUGAGCUCCCAAAAUCUUCGGUAACAAACAAGUUUUCUUUUAAAAAGUAUUAAGUUAUCAAAGCAUUUGCCAGGUCCUAAUAUUAAAUCGUAGCAGUCAGCAGUGUUUAAGUUCAGCUAUAUCAUUUUGCUGAGUAAGUCAUGCUAAAACUUAAAGUUUUCCCCUUAAAACGAUCUUUCCAAAUGAGAUUGAUAUUGUGAGAAAAAAAGGGAAGAGGGAGGGACGCCUUCAUCAUAAGGAAUUAUGGAAUUAAUUUUCUUUAUACCCUGUGUUUGCACAGGACAUUUUUGUUAACUCUUAAUAAAAAUACCAUUCAGCUGCUACUUUC